UACGUAGGGUCUUAGCGUUAUCCGGAAUUACUGGGUAUAAAGGGUGCGCAGGCGGGUUUGUGCGUCAAGGGUUAAAGACCCCGGCUUAACCGGGGAAGUGCCCUUGAAACGGCAGAUCUUGAGUGUGAGAGAGGAAGGUAGAAUUCCUGGUGUAGUAGUGAAAUACGUAGAUAUCAGGAGGAAUACCAGUGGCGAAGGCGGCCUUCUGGCUCAUUACUGACGCUCAUGCACGAAAGCGUGGGGAGCAAACAGG
rnacentral:rRNA from 1 species